rnacentral:rRNA from 1 species
UACGGAGGGUGCGAGCGUUGUCCGGAAUCACUGGGCGUAAAGGGUGCGUAGGUGGCGCUGUAAGUCGGGUGUGAAAUCCUGAGGCUUAACCUCGGAACUGCAUUCGAUACUGCGGCGCUUGAGGACUGGAGAGGAGACUGGAAUUCAUGGUGUAGCAGUGAAAUGCGUAGAGAUCAUGAGGAAGACCAGUGGCGAAGGCGGGUCUCUGGACAGUUCCUGACACUGGAGGCACGAAGGCCAGGGGAGCAAACGGG